GACGAACGCUGGCGGCGUGCUUAACACAUGCAAGUCGAACGGAAAGGCCCUGCUUUUGUGGGGUGCUCGAGUGGCGAACGGGUGAGUAACACGUGAGUAACCUGCCCCUGACUUUGGGAUAACUUCAGGAAACUGGGGCUAAUAUCGGAUAGGAGCUCCUGCUGCAUGGUGGGGGUUGGAAAGUUUCGGCGGUUGGGGAUGGACUCGCGGCUUAUCAGCUUGUUGGUGGGGUAGUGGCUUACCAAGGCUUUGACGGGUAGCCGGCCUGAGAGGGUGACCGGCCACAUUGGGACUGAGAUACGGCCCAGACUCCUACGGGAGGCAGCAGUGGGGAAUAUUGCACAAUGGGCGGAAGCCUGAUGCAGCAACGCCGCGUGCGGGAUAACGGCCUUCGGGUUGUAAACCGCUUUCGCCUGUGACGAAGCGUGAGUGACGGUAAUGGGUAAAGAAGCACCGGCUAACUACGUG
rnacentral:rRNA from 1 species